UUUAUAUUCCCAUAUGUGCUCAAUUUCCAUAUUCCCUUUCCUGAUUCAUUGUUUUCUUCUAGUAUUAAAGUAGAAUAAAGGCAACCAUGUAUUGUGGAGCAGGGUGUACACAGCGCAAUUUUCAAGGACUCAUUUCUACCUCUGCAGCCAUGCACAGCAGCCUUGCAGUUCAAAUCACGAAGCUACCAUUCAUCUGAUGGCAUCUUGCUGUCCUAAUCUGAAAGGGUAGCUUUAGGCAAAAUGAACCAUCUUUUGAGGGCUGAACUUGCAAAUGUGUGUGUGUGUGUGUGUGUAUGUAUACACAUAUAUGUGUGUGUAUAUAUAUAUACCAAUUGGAUCAAAAAUAUGAAUCAAACUAAUUGGUAAUUUUUUCUUCUAGAAUUAGGCAAAAUGACAAGACUGAAUCCUGAGGAAAGAUACUUAAUUCUCCUUAUUGGUGUUGCCUCAGAGGACAUGCUGUGAUGUGAUGGUACUCAAAUGGGAUCUACUUAAUACAACACACAAGCAAUUAGAGAACUUCGUUGUAAUCACUUCUGAAACCCCAGAAGGUUCACAUCUACCGGCUGAGAUGCUGCCUUCCCAGCCUCUCCCACUUCAGAAGCUUAGUGAAGGAAAUCGUCGCUGCCCACAUUGUGUAUACAGACCAUCUUUACCUAGCAGUGCAGAUGUUUUUGAACUUUAUACUGCUACUGGUUGGGUGGAUUUCUUGUUUCUCAAAUAAAAAUUAUAUUCACCAGGGAUUCAAGUUUGGUGGACACAGAGGUUAAACACAUUUGGCAGCUUAUCCCACAGAUCUUUUUAGAGAAGAAAGAAUGAUUAGAAGGAAAUUCCAGUUUUCUGUUUCUAAUUUUAGGUAACAGAGGAGUUACCUGUUUCAGCUGUAAGCUAAGCCCACCUAGUUACAUUUUUUUUUUUAACGCUUCCAAGCGUAUGAAUUCAUCUUCAGGUCCAAAUGUGCAUAUGUAAAGGCAGCUAUUUUGGCAAAUGUCUCUUGGUAGCCUGGGUAUUUUCAUUAAGAUUUGUCUUGCUCUUGGAUCCUAUUCUGUGCUUCAGCUGUUUUGAUCAAAUGGGCCUCCAUAUUUCAGAAGGAGCUGGUGCUCCCU
rnacentral:lncRNA from 1 species